GACGAACGCUGGCGGCGUGCCUAAUACAUGCAAGUUGAGCGCUGAAGGUUGGUACUUGUACCAACUGGAUGAGCAGCGAACGGGUGAGUAACGCGUGGGGAAUCUGCCUUUGAGCGGGGGACAACAUUUGGAAACGAAUGCUAAUACCGCAUAAAAACUUUAAACACAAGUUUUAAGUUUGAAAUAUGCAAUUGCAUCACUCAAAGAUGAUCCCGCGUUGUAUUAGCUAGUUGGUGAGGUAAAGGCUCACCAAGGCGAUGAUACAUAGCCGACCUGAGAGGGUGAUCGGCCACAUUGGGACUGAGACACGGCCCAAACUCCUACGGGAGGCAGCAGUAGGGAAUCUUCGGCAAUGGACGAAAGUCUGACCGAGCAACGCCGCGUGAGUGAAGAAGGUCUUCGGAUCGUAAAACUCUGUUGGUAGAGAAGAACGUUGGUGAGAGUGGAAAGCUCAUCAAGUGACGGUAACUACCCAGAAAGGGACGGCUAACUACGUG
rnacentral:rRNA from 1 species